UACGUAGGGGGCGAGCGUUGUCCGGAUUUAUUGGGCGUAAAGAGCGUGUAGGCGGCUUGGUAGGUCUGCUGUGAAAACUCGGGGCUCAACCCCGAGACGUCGGUGGAAACCACCUGGCUAGAGUCCGGAAGAGGAGAGUGGAAUUCCUGGUGUAGCGGUGAAAUGCGCAGAUAUCAGGAGGAACACCGGUGGCUAAGGCGGCUCUCUAGUACGGUACUGACGCUGAGACGCGAAAGCGUGGGGAGCGAACAGG
rnacentral:rRNA from 1 species